rnacentral:rRNA from 1 species
UGGUUGAUCCUGCCAGUGAUUAUAUUCUCAGAUCAAAGAAUAAGCCAUGCAUGUUCAAGAAUUAACAAGUUUUUUGUGAAUUUGGGUAUGGGUCAAUAUUAGAAUUAUAACCUACCCGAGAAAUAAAUGACAAAUGGAUAACCGUUGUAAUUCAAGGGGUAAUCAUGCAUGAAAGCAAGUUUUUUAUUAGAAUUGUGCAUUUGUUAGUUUUAAACCAACCUUAAAUAUGGUGAAUCCUGACAAAUUGGGGAUCCUCAUGUUGCAAAAAACGGAGGAAGAAUUGGUUGGGUUUUUCCCCUAUCAGGGUUUGACGGGAGUGUAUUGUACUUUUGUGCCUUUGACGGGUAACGGAGAAUUAGGGUUUGAUUCCGGAGAGGGAGCCUGAGAGAUGGGUACCACAUUUAAGGAAGGCAGCCGGCGGGCAAAUUUUCCAAUGUUUAAAGUAACGAGGAAGUGACGAUCAAUAAAUAUGGGGGUAAUAUAAUUUACGUGUCAUUGGAAUGACUACAAUUUAAAGAGUUUAAGGAGGAACAAUUGGAGGGCAAGUCUGGUGCCAGCAGCCGCGGUAAUCCAGGCCCAAUAGGGAUAUACAAAGGUUGUUGCAGUUAAAAAGCUCGUAGUCGAGUUUUUGGGGGAUUUUAUUUUGUUUAUCGGGUUUAUACUUGUUAAAUGAAAUGUCCUUCACAUUGUGGAUUCAUUAUUUGUAUUUAAAUUUAUUUUUAAAUAUAAAUACCACUCUUUCACUGAGAGCAAAUUGGAGUGCUCAAAGCAGGCUUUAUAGCUUUGAACAUAUUAGCUUGGAAUGACAAGAUAAGACUGAAUGUCUGUUUUGUUGGUUUAUGGAUAUUUAGUAAUGACUAAUAGAAACAGUUGCGGGGGUACUCGUACUGGAAAGUCAGAGGUGAAAUUCUUAGAUUUUUCCACGACGAACGACUGCGAAGGCAUUUACCAAGGAUGUUUUCAUUGAUCAAGAACGAAAGUGAUAGGAUCGAAGAUGAUUAGAUACCAUCGUAGUUAUCACUGUAAACGAUGCCGACUCGAGAUUGUAUUUAUUUACUUAUUUAAUAGUUGAAUACAGUAUCGUAUGAGAAAUCAAAGUUUUCGGGUUCCGGGGGGAGUAUGAUUCGCAAGGUUGAAACUUAAAAGAAUUGACGGAAGGACACACCAGAGGUGGAGCCUGCGGUUUAAUUUGACUCAACACGGGGAAACUUACCAGGUCCAGACAUGGAAAGGAUUGACAGUUGAAAGCACUUCCUUGUAUUUCCAUGGGUGGUGGUGCAUGCCGUUCUUAGU